CACCUCUUUUAAGUUCACCUUUUGUACUUACUUAACACCUUUUUUGUAGUUAAAAUCUAAAAAUAGAUUGUAGCUUAAAAUUCUAGCUUCACUAUAAAGUAAGAGCUAAGUACCUUCAUUGUUCCAAUCAGGAGAUUACAAUUUUAUCUUCACAAUAAAGAAAGAGCUAAGUAUCUUCAUUGUUACAAUCAGGAGAUAGAUAAAUCCAAUCUUCACAAGAAUCAGGAGAACAAUUCAUAUGCAAAUAGUAAUUAUAAUAUCAAUUAUUUAGUACUUUAAGAUUUACAAAGUGCUUUCCAUGUUAUUCAUUUCCUAGGAAGUAGGAACUCAUUAUUCCCACUUUUUCAGCUGAGGCACAGAAAGGUUAAAUGACUUGCCUAGCAUCUCACAUCUAACUAAGAGUCUAAAGUAGGAUUCAAACUCAAGUCUACCCGAUUCCAAGUUCUGUACUCUAUCUACUUUGCCUCAUUGAUGAAUACAGCACUGUAAAGGAAAACAGCUAUGAAAGAUUUAAGGACUAAGAUCAGAGCAAUGACUAAUCACAACUCUAGAACAUAAAAGAUGAAUCAUGCUUCCCAGCUCUGCCAGAGAGUUCCAGUCCUCGAUGAUGACCCUUCAGGUGGUAGACACUUAACCUCCCAGAAGCUCAGAUUCUCAGAGUUGACUGAUUCUUGCUGAGUCAGUGCCAGCAAUAAGCACCCUGUGACGCAGCUCAAGGAAAAGAAUUUAUCCUGAGAGGACUACUGGAGGAC
rnacentral:lncRNA from 1 species